AUUGAACGCUGGCGGCAGGCCUAACACAUGCAAGUCGAGCGUGAAAAGUCCUUCGGGAUGAGUAAAGCGGCGGACGGGUGAGUAACGCGUAGGAAUCUACCUAAUAGUGGGGGAGUAACGUUUCGAAAGGAACGCUAAUACCGCAUACGUUCUGAGGAAGAAAGACAGGGGAUCGCAAGACCUUGCGCUAUUAGAUGAGCCUGCGUCCGAUUAGCUAGUUGGUGGGGUAAAGGCCUACCAAGGCGACGAUCGGUAACUGGUCUGAGAGGAUGAUCAGUCACACUGGAACUGAGACACGGUCCAGACUCCUACGGGAGGCAGCAGUGGGGAAUAUUGGACAAUGGGGGCGAACCCUGAUCCAGCCAUGCCGCGUGAGUGAUGAAGGCCUUAGGGUUGUAAAGCUCUUUGCCAGGGAAGAUGAUGACUGUACCUGGAGAAUAAGCCCCGGCUAACUUCGUGCCAGCAGCCGCGGUAAU
rnacentral:rRNA from 1 species